CUUCAGAGGUGGGGUGUUGUAAGAUCAGGGAAGCAAUGUCCUCAGCAGGAGGUUAAAAUCCAUGGGUAUUAAAGCAGUUUACUCCUGCUAACUGUAUUGCCUUUUCUCUCUGAGUUGCAAUGGAAACUUGCAAACACGAAUGUGACAUUUUGCUUUCACUUCUUGGCAGUAGCAAUUUCUAAUUCCACUCAAAUACAAGAAGCAGCAAACCCCUUGACCACUCCUCAUAACUGAUACUUCACCCACACUAUUGCUGCAUUUGCCAGUCUAGGGUGUUACCUUGGAGUCUUCUAUAUUCCUGAUCUUUGCUUUGCCUGAAAAGCUCUCAAAACUCAGAAUGAACUUUUAUUAAUUAUUAAAUCCCUCAACUCCUUGCUGUCUUACAACCUGGCAGAGAAAAUCAGGCCAAAGGGACAGAAAGCUCAAUCCAGGUCUCCCUGCAGAAACCUGACACAGUAAAUAGGGACAGCCUGAGGUGAUCUGAAAUUUGGAAAACUUGUGGCAGCAAAAUAAAUUCUGAGGAGCCCAUGGGUGAAUUGGUGUCCCCUACACUACUGGCUCCAGAUCCCAAGCAAAUGCCAGAGGGCAACAGGCUGCGUGUCCUGAAGCCAGGCACAACAAGGGAGUAGCAGAGGACUGGGAGGACAGCUGCAGUGCAGGGGCAUGGCUGUGGAAGAUGCAAAGGCUCGGGCAUCAGACAGGAGAGAGACCAUGACAUACAGCCAAAAUGUCAACAGUGAUCUCAAGUGUGCUUACUUCUGUGGGGAAAUCCUGGCAAGAGGAAUUCAGCCAAACAGCAGAUUUAUAUCAGCUGAAUGUACUCCUGGGAAGGAGAUCCAAAAGCUGCACCUGCUGAUCUAAUUUUUGUGACCACAGAUUUCAAGGUGUGUGCAAGAUACUCAGCCACCUGUUCUCUUCUUCUCUUGUGACCCCAGACAUGAGCUCUUCCCUCCAUCAAUUUUCCAGCAUGCUAGGAUCCCACAGCAGGACAUCACCAGUGCCCCAGCAGGUGCUGCCAUGCUGGUACAGAGCAAUGAGUUCUCCUGCCUGAUGCCAGGCACCAUCUUCAUGGAACAGAUACCCUUUUGAGGCAUGCCUGGAAGCACUUCCCUAGUUGUGUUUGUGUUCUUAGAGACUACCAGCCCUUUUUUGCUGCUUAUUCAGGAAUGGGGCCAGGGGCUUCUCUGAGCAGCCUGUGAGGCGAUAUCACUGCCAUAAAAACCCCACAAGUCCCACAUGUGGACCUGCCUGCACAGCAGCGUCCUCUCUGCUGAGCCGUGCUACCCUGCGGCAAGUACCAUUUUCUGAAGCAAUUUGUCUUCGGACCAGAACGGGGCAGCACAGCCCAGACAAACCCAGGCAGAGAAUGCGUGUGUCCCAGCUGAGCAGCGUAUCUGUGAAACCUCCACACAUUUAGGGAAAAUCGGUCUUUAGCGCUGCUAGCGACACUGAGAGUGGCUGCAGAGCCUUGCCAGUUGUGUAGGCAAUUGUUGAAGAGCCUCACUUUGUUGAACAUGGAUCUGGAAGCCUUCCCAGAUUAUGCAUCUGCCCCUCCAAUUCGAGACCUAAGAGGCUGUAGCUGAAUGGGAAGAUAAUGAGUAAAUACAUUCCCAGCGACUGCUUUGGGAGCGGAAUUAAUGAAGCAUUAUCUUUUUCUCUUGA